rnacentral:lncRNA from 1 species
AUGUCCCUCUAUUUGGCACCUAUGUCCUAUCCUUCCAACUGAUCGGUAUCAGCUAGAAGGAGGAUGCUCUGGAGCAGCUCAUGGGUUAUCCUAUGGUUGCACAGGGUGGAGCUUGUUGGCAAGAUUGAAAAAGUCUUCAUCCCCUAGCUAGAUGGGAGAGCCGGUUCCUCACCGACCCUUUCGGCUUGGGAAGAGAGAGCCGAGGUCUGGGGGGC